UGUGGGAUGCAGGCCGGCCGAGGCGGAGGGGGAUAGGGCGCGGGAAUGCUGUGCGGUCCGGACGCGGCGUCCGAGAGCUGGGUUCCAUCAUCCCUCCCCUGCACCCUGGAGGUGUUUCCUAACAGUCCCGGUCCUGGCUGCGGAGGAGUCCAGGCUGGGUGCUGAUUCAAGUCCCGUCUCAGUCCUCUUUCCCCACUAAGGAUGGCUUCUGUCUCCCCAAAUUGGUGGAGUUUGGACUUUAUCUCUUUUUGCUUUGAGGAUCUACGGUGUGUAAGUUCUCGCUGGCCUGCAAAGGAAUCUGUGCAGAGCGCCAUGUGUUAGAGGACGGGCGAAUGAGAGCUUGGAGAUGCCUGAGGUAUGGUCCUUACCCUCGUGACAGGUGGGAGGUCCAGGUGAGAAGCCAGGAUUGAAGACUUCAUGGAGGAGUCAUCAUUUUGCCCUGAAUUGGAAUCAAUUCCUUACUGACUUAUAACUGUAUUAAAAGUGUUGUAGUUAACUGUG